AGUGAACGCUGGCGGCGUGCUUAACACAUGCAAGUCGAACGAGAACGGAUUAUAGCUUGCUAUAAUUGUCAGCUAAGUGGCGCACGGGUGAGUAAUGUAUAGGUAAUAUGCCUCUUACUAAGGGAUAACAAAUGGAAACGUUUGCUAAUACCUGAUACUCCUUAUUAACAGAAGUUAAAAAGGGAAAGAUUUAUUGGUAAGAGAUUAGCCUGUAUUGUAUCAGUUAGUUGGUGGGGUAAUGGCUUACCAAGACUAUGACACAUAACUGGUUUGAGAGGAUGAUCAGUCACACUGGAACUGAGACACGGUCCAGACUCCUACGGGAGGCAGCAGUGGGGAAUAUUGCACAAUGGACGAAAGUCUGAUGCAGCAACGCCGCGUGGAGGAUGACACAUUUCGGUGCGUAAACUCCUUUUAUAUGAGAAGAUAAUGACGGUAUUAUAUGAAUAAGCACCGGCUAACUCCGUGCCAGCAGCCGCAGUAA
rnacentral:rRNA from 1 species